rnacentral:lncRNA from 1 species
UUCACUAACCCUUGGUAAUAAUUCACUUCGUAAAUAAUUCCGAUUGCGCUCAUGGUUUGCAGGUACUAUUAGAAAUUGCACUGCCCUUUUCCCAUCUAUGCUUCUGAUACGAGCACAUGCUGAUCUAUCAUCCAAAAUCUUGGUCUCCAUCCUCACAGCUGUAAUAUAUGGUUGACCAAGAAUCACCGGGUAUGAAGUAGUGUCUUGAACAAAAAAAUUUUAUUCUGUGGUCACAUUUCUAACCUUUACCUUCACAUUAGGGCAAGCACCAUAAAGAUCUCCUCGUGUAUUAUUUGCUGCUCGAAUCACCCAUCCAUGGUUAAUAUCAAUGGACCACCUUCCAUGUUUAUAGACCUCUUUUGACAUAAUAUUAAUUUCAGAUCCAUGGUCAAUGAGAGC